CCUACGGGAGGCUGCAGUGAGGAAUAUUGGUCAAUGGACGGAAGUCUGAACAAGCCAUGCCGCGUGCAGGAAGACGGCCCUAUGAGUUGUAAACUGCUUUUGUACAAGGGUAAACCUGAAUACGUGUAUUCAGCUGAAUGUACUGUACGUAUAAGGAUCGGCUAACCCCGUGCCAGCAGCCGCGGUAAUACGGAGGAUCCAAGCGUUAUCCGGAUUUAUUGGGUUUAAAGGGUGCGUAGGCGGAUUGAUAAGUUAGAGGUGAAAUUGCCGAGCUUAACUCGGGAACUGCCUCUAAUACUGGUGAUCUAGAGAGUAGAUGCGGUAGGCGGAAUGUAUGGUGUAGCGGUGAAAUGCUUAGAGAUCAUACAGAACACCGAUUGCGAAGGCAGCUUACCAAUCUAUAUCUGACGUUGAGGCUCGAAAGCGUGGGGAGCAAACAGGAUUAGAUACCCUAGUAGUC
rnacentral:rRNA from 1 species